rnacentral:rRNA from 1 species
GACGAACGCUGGCGGCGUGCCUAAUACAUGCAAGUUGAGCGCUGAAGGUUGGUACUUGUACCAACUGGAUGAGCAGCGAACGGGUGAGUAACGCGUGGAGAAUCUGCCUUUGAGCGGGGGACAACAUUUGGAAACGAAUGCUAAUACCGCAUAAAAACUUUAAACACAAGUUUUAAGAUUGAAAGAUGCAAUUGCAUCACUCAAAGAUGAUCCCGCGUUGUAUUAGCUAGUUGGUGAGGUAAAGGCUCACCAAGGCGAUGAUACAUAACCGACCUGAGAGGGUGAUCGGCCACAUUGGGACUGAGACACGGCCCAAACUCCUACGGGAGGGAGCAGUAGGGAAUCUUCGGCAAUGGACGAAAGUCUGACCGAGCCACGCCGCGUGAGUGAAGGAGGUUUUCGGAUCGUAAAACUCCGUUGGUAGAGAAGAACGUUGGUGAGAGUGGAAAGCUCAUCAAGUGACGGUAACUACCCAGAAAGGGACGGCUAACUACGUG